AUUUAUGUUCUACUUUUUCUCAUAGAACUAAGACAUCUAAAUUCAAAGACCCCUCUAAAUAACUCUACAAGACGGGGACAGGAAGUGUUAUUUGCAUCUUGGGCUCAUCCGUUCUUCUGCUAGUUUCAAUAACCUGUGCAACCCAAGCUUUAAGCAGAAGCAGCACAAAAGUUUGUCUCCCCGAGAAGAAUCUGUCCGGCUAUUUUUGUGUUUCUAAGCUGGUAUGGAAAAUACUACACCAUCUCUCAACAACAUCACUAAUGACUUCAAGAACCAAACAGAAGCUCCAGAUGGUUCAAAUGGUUGUUUCAUUGAUCCUCAGCUAGCAUUCAUAGUAGUUGCAGCAUCUGGGAGUCUAAUGCUUGUCCUACUAAUAUCUGUCUUGGUGCUGGCAUGUAAGGUCAUCACUUUAAAGCGACAGUGCCAGGACCGACGCCCAACCCGCAGUAACAUGGAUCUGAGAGGAUCAGGUCACUGGAGCACUGAAAGAGAAGAGGAAGGCAUUGUAGGACCAUGCGAGACCAGCGUCCUGCUACAGGAAGUUAAGAGAGAUGGAGAAGAGCAGGAAGAAGAAGAGGAGGCUAUAUUGCAUCAAAGCAACUCAGACAACAUCGAUGAGGAAAAUGUCUUGGCCACCAUGCAGGGCUCCACCUCCAGAGAUUCCUGCAUAGAUCCUGCUAAGGAACUGGAGAACAUGCCUUUGGUGGUGUGAGCUUGCAUGUGUCUUUCACCUUCAGUGAUAAAUGCUAACCUAAAAGCAGUAUCUUAAAAGAUGCAAUCUGUGACUUAACCAUGUAGAUUUUUUGCUGUUAAACUGUUUUUUUCCUACCUGCUCCCUUUUCUCUCUUGCAUUAUUUCCAUUUAAUUUCAAAGUCUGGAACCUGGCAUUUAAUUUUUUCUGUUAGAUAAGAGGUCUGUAUGGAUGAUAAUUAAUAUAACAUGAUAAUAAAAUUAAAAUGAUAUUCAUAUUAUAUUUAAAUACCACAAACACCUUUCUAUGUGAUAUCCAUGGAUUCAACUAAGCUAAUAAUACUGCUUAUCUGAGAUGAGCAGGUAAUAUAGUAGCUUGUUUUGUAAAAAUGGAAAUUCUGGUUUUAGAAACUGUCAUUUAUGCAAAGACAGAAAUGUAUUAGUCACCCAAAUUUUGCUACGUCUAGUCUUUCUCCCGACCAUCAUAUGUACCAGAUAGGUUUUUAAAAUAUUUUUCACUUCCUUUGUAAUCAAGCAUGGCAAAAUGAAUUGCUAAUUAAAAAUAAUUUGAUCUGUGUUUGUGCUGUAUUUAUUCAUGUUGGUUUACAUACUAUAUUUAUAUGUUAGUUGUAUAUGUUAUAAAUACUGAUCUUCCAAAGAAACAGAACAUUCCCAAAUCACUAAUGAGUGCUUUUUAUUUCCCUUUACAUACUUUUAGAACCAACUUCUCUAGAUUGUAUCUAAAUAUACUACUUUCAAAUCUAGCACGCCACUAUCCAUGGUCUCUUUUCUCUCAUUUUUUUCUUUAACUUAAACUACAGCCUGACUCCUCAGAAUGUCUAAAUACACUGUCAGCUGUUGUAAUACACAUAAUACAGUGCACUCCACUAAUAUUGGCACCCUUGGUAAAUAUGAGCAAAGAAGGCUGUGAAAAAUUGUCUUUGUUUAACCUUUUGAUCACUUGGUUAAAAUAUUUAUUAAAACACAAAAAUAUUCUGUUCUCAUGGAUGAACAAUAUGCAAACAAAACAGGUUUAUCAAAAAAAAAAAAAGUGUUAAAUGUGUGCAACAAUUAUUGGCACCCUUUUAGUCAAUACUUUGUGCUACCUCCCUUUGCCAAGAUGACAGCUCUGAGUCUUCUUCUAUAAUGCCUGAUGAGGUUGGAGAAUACAUGGCAAGGGUUCUGAGACCAUUCCUCCAUAUAGAAUCUCUCUAGAUCCUUAAAAUUUCAAGGUCCAUGCUGGUGGACUCUCCUCUUCAGUUCACCCCACAGGUUUUCUAUGGGUUUCAAGUCAGGGGACUGGGAUGGUCAUGGCAGGACCUUGAUUUUGUGGUCAGUAAACCAUUUUUGUGUUGAUUUUGAUGCAUGUUUUGGAUCAAUGUCCUGCUGGAAGAUCCAACCAUGGCCCACUGUAUGCGUUCUGGCAGAGGCAGUCAGGUUUUCACUUAAUAUCUGUUGAUAUUUGAUACAGUCCAUGAUGCCAUGUAUCCUAACAAAAUGUCCAGGUCCUCUGGCAAAAAAAACAGCCCCAAAACAUAAAAGAUCCACCACCAUAUUUAACCAUGGGCAUGAGGUACUUUUCCCAUAUGGCUACCUCUCUGUAUGCGCCAAAAAUACCUCUGGUUUUGGUUUCAUCUGACCAUAGAACCCGAUCCCAUUUGAAGUUCCAGUAGUGUCUGGCAAACUGAAGAUGCUUGAGUUUGUUUUUGGAGGAGAGUAGAGGCUUUUUUCUGGACCCUUCCAAAUAACUUGUGGUGAUGUAGGUGACUUCGGAUUGUAGUUUUGGAGACUUCCUGACCCCAAGACGCAACUAACUUCUGCAAUUCUCCAGCUGUGAUCAUUGGAGAUUUUUUGGCCAAUCGAACCAUCCUCUUCACAGUGCGUUGAGAGAAUACAGACACACGUCCAAUUCCAGGUUGAUUCAUAACAUUUCCAGUUGACGGGAACGUCUUAAGUAUUGCCCUGAUGGUGGAAAUGGGCAUGUGAUUCUCUCAUAUGAAUUCAUAGGGGUGCCAAUAAUUGUUGCACACGCAUAUUUUACAAAGUUUUUUUUUUUUUUUUUUUUUAAUAAACCUGUGCUGUGAUUGCAAUUGAUAUCCAUGAGAGCUGAGUAUUUUUGUGAAUUUUGAAGGUUAAACAAUAAAGAAUUUUUUCCACAGACUUUUUUGCUCAUUGGGCAAGGUUACACAGUUAAAAUAACUUAGGACACUAAAGAGACUACUGACUCCUGACUCUGAAAAACCCCAGAAGAAAGAUGCCUAGGAUGCCUGCUCAUCUGCAUGAACAUACCAUAGGCCUUACCAUAGGCCUGCUGCAGGGAGGCAUGAGGACUGCACAUGUGGCCAGAACAAUAAACUGCAAUGUCUCUAACGUAAGACACCUAAGACAGUGCUACAGGGAGACAGGAAGGACAGCUGAUCGCCCUUGCAGUGAAAAAUUACAUGUAACCAUGUUUGGGGUAACAUCACACCUCAACAACUGACACAUCUGGUGCAGUUCAUGAAGAUGAGAUGCACUGUAGUACUUAAAGCAGCUGGUGACCACACCAGAUACAUACUGAAACAUACAUUUCUAUAAAAUAUUUUAAAAACUUCCUUCAUAUCUGUAUUGCAGUAUCAUUGCAUUAACCCUUUUUCUUUUUUAAUAAUUGCAGAACAGUAACAGUUAGUCAGAA